rnacentral:lncRNA from 1 species
CUAUGGUGACUUUGAGGAUUUAGAGACAGGAGAGGUUUUUAAUAGCCAGGCUACGUCAGAAGAUAAAAAUUCAAUGGAUCAAAAAGAUGCUGACCCUGCGGCUGAGGAGCGAAAGUUGAAGAAACUUGCUCUUCGUGCAAAAUUCGACGCUCAAUAUCCUUUUUUCAAUAAUUCAUGAGAUUCAGAAAAUUACAUGAUUUCUUCACCCUUCAAAGCUAUAUCUAGAUGCAAAUAUUAAUUUUGAGGUGUGAGUGCUUGCAUUAUGAACGUGAUCAUUGAACACAAACACACGCCUCCCCUCUCUCUCUCUCUCUCUCUCUAUAUAUAUAUAUAUAUAUAUAUAUAUAUGUAUAUGUAUCCGCAUACACACCUGUCGUAAAUAUUAUAAACAUAAAAUCUAUUGAAAUGUGUCUGACGUUGAUAUCCAGACCAUUGAUACUUGGUAAAUUGCUGAUCUCUUACCAUUGCUGAUCAGCACUAUCUUGGCCUGUUUGUUUUUAUCUACUCCUAAUGUGUGUGUUGUGCUAGAAGGUUAAAAAAUAACUGUCAGCAAAAUUUGCUUUUCUGUCCUUGUUGAACAUAUGCUACCUGACUAAUUUGAUGUUUCAAUAUUCCGCCUGUUGCUAGUUGAUGUCGUUAUCAUAUUUUUCCGCUUUUGAAUGUUUUCUGUGUUCAUUAUUCGUGAGCUACUUUGAUACCUUAACUAUAACCUACAUAUGAUGGGUCUGCACAGUUAGAUGAUGAACCCAGUGAUGGAAAGAAUGCUAGUACUUCUCGAGACCAUGCUUCCGAUGGUGGAUACUUUGACAAA